rnacentral:rRNA from 1 species
CCUACGAGAGGCAGCAGUGAGGAAUAUUGGUCAAUGGUCGGGAGACUGAACCAGCCAAGCCGCGUGAGGGAUGAAGGUACAGAGUAUCGUAAACCUCUUUUGUCAGGGAACAAAGGCGGGGACGUGUCCCCGGAUGAGUGUACCUGAAGAAAAAGCAUCGGCUAACUCCGUGCCAGCAGCCGCGGUAAUACGGAGGAUGGGAGCGUUAUCCGGAUUUAUUGGGUUUAAAGGGUGCGCAGGCGGUCUGUUAAGUCAGCGGUCAAAGCCCGGGGCUCAACCCCGGCCAGCCGUUGAAACUGGCAGUCUCGAGUUGGAGAGAAGUAUGCGGAAUGCGCGGUGUAGCGGUGAGAUGCAUAGCUCUCGCGCAGAACUCCGAUUGCGAAGGCAGCAUGCCGGCUCCACACUGACGCUGAGGCACGAAAGCGUGGGUAUCGAACAGGAUUAGAUACCCGGGUAGUC